AUGAACGCUAGCUACAGGCUUAACACAUGCAAGUCGAGGGGCAGCGGUAUCGAAAGCUUGCUUUCGGUAGCCGGCGACCGGCGCACGGGUAAGUAACGCGUAUCGAACCUGCCUCAUACUCGGGAAUAGCCUUGCGAAAGUAAGAUUAAUGCCCGGCGUUUUCAGAGUCCCGCAUGAGGCUUUGAACAAAGAUUUAUCGGUAUGAGAUGGCGAUGCGUCCCAUUAGCUUGUUGGCGGGGUAACGGCCCACCAAGGCAUCGAUGGGUAGGGGUUCUGAGAGGAAGGUCCCCCACAUUGGAACUGAGACACGGUCCAAACUCCUACGGGAGGCAGCAGUGAGGAAUAUUGGUCAAUGGGCGGAAGCCUGAACCAGCCAAGUAGCGUGCAGGAAGACGGCCCUCCGGGUUGUAAACUGCUUUUAGUUGGGAAUAAAACGGGGCUCGUGAGCCCCCUUGCAUGUACCAUCAGAAAAAGGACCGGCUAAUUCCGUGCCAGCAGCCGCGGUAAUACGGAAGGUCCGAGCGUUAUCCGGAUUUAUCGGGUUUAAAGGGAGCGCAGGCGGACCUUUAAGUCAGCUGUGAAAUACGGCGGCUCAACCGUCGAACUGCAGUUGAUACUGGAGGUCUUGAGUGCACACAGGGAUGCUGGAAUUCAUGGUGUAGCGGUGAAAUGCUCAGAUAUCAUGAGGAACUCCGAUCGCGAAGGCAGGCAUCCGGGGUGCAACUGACGCUGAGGCUCGAAAGUGCGGG
rnacentral:rRNA from 1 species